CAGCAGCCGCGGGAAAACAGAGGUCCCAAGCGUUGUUCGGAAUCACUGGGCGUAAAGGGUGCGUAGGCGGCGCGGAAAGUCAGGGGUGAAAUCCCGGAGCUCAACUCCGGAACUGCCUUUGAUACUCCCGCGCUUGAGAACUGGAGGGGAGACCGGAAUUCGCGGUGGAGCAGUGAAAUGCGUGGAUAUCGUGAGGAACACUAGUGGCGAAGGCGGGUCUCUGGACAGUAUCUGACGCUGAGGCACGAAGGCCAGGGGAGCGAACAGGAUUAGAUACCCCUGUAGUCCCUGUCUCUUAUAC
rnacentral:rRNA from 1 species